rnacentral:lncRNA from 1 species
AGGAGUACAACCUGUCUCAAGGAUGCCGUCGCCAAUGUAGAAUCGUCCAUGCUUCUUACCUUGCCCAAUCCUCAUCACUAGCUCAGGAUCAAGGCGCUCCUCAGUCCUCGGAUCGUAGUCCGACCCAUGGACUAACCUCGAUGCCUCUGUGUACGAAUUGAGAUGGGUGUAGACGCUAGAGUUGGUGUACACCUCUGGGCCUGCAUCAGGGUUGUACUCGAUGUUGGACUUUGCCGGGCCCAUGUGGGCCAGAGCAUACGCCGUGAGUUGGC